AGUGUAGGCGGCUUCGUAAGUCGGAUGUGAACGCCCCGGGCUUAACCUGGGAAUGGCAUUCGAUACUGCGCGGCUAGAGUCUGAUAGAGGGAAGUGGAAUUCCAGGUGUAGCGGUGAAAUGCGUAGAGAUCUGGAGGAACACCAGUGGCGAAGGCGGCUUCCCGGAUCAAGACUGACGCUGAGGCUCGAAAGCGUGGGGAGCAAACA
rnacentral:rRNA from 1 species